UUUUGGACUCUGCACCUUGAGCUCUGACUGCUGUCACAUGAGCUGAGGCCUGAGAAGAUGUCAGGAAUCAGCAGCGCGCCGUGAGAUGUUUCACACUGCAAAGUCCAAAGAAACGGAACCAAAGCGUG